AGUGAACGCUGGCGGUAGGCCUAACACAUGCAAGUCGAACGAACUCUUCGGAGUUAGUUGCGGUCGCGUGAGUAACGCGUCGGAACGUGCCUUUUGGUUCGGAAUAACACAGGGUAACUUGUGCUAAUACAGAAUGUGUCACUCGGGGAAAAGAUACAUCGUCCUUAGUGCGGCCGGCGUCGGUUGAGCCUGUGGCGGUGGAAACGGCCCACCAAGGAGAGGAUCAUUAGCUGGUUUGAGAGGAUGACAAGCCACACUGAGACUGAGACCCGGCGCAGAGUCCUACAGGAGGCAGCAGUGGGGGAUCUUGCGCAAUCGGCGAAAGGCAGACGCAGCCAUGGCGCGUGAAUGAUGAAGGUCUUAGGAUAGUAAAAUUCUUUCACCGGCGACUAUAAUGACGGUACCCGAAGAAGAAGCCCCGGCUAACUUCGUG
rnacentral:rRNA from 1 species